GCUUGUCUCAAAGAUUAAGCCAUGCAUGUCUUAGUGUAAAUAACUCUUAUGAAACUGCGAAUGGCUCAUUAUAACAGUUAUAAUUUGUUUGGUGUUCAAGUUUACAUGGGUAACUGUGGCAAUUCUAGAGCUAAUACAUGCUGUUUUGCCUGACUCUGUGGUAAGGCUGUGCUUAUUAGUACCAGAACCAACCCAAGUUCUGCUUGGUUGCAUCCUGAUUCAUAAUAAACGAAUGGAUUGCAUGCUUUGGCUGGCAAUGUAGCAUCUAAGUUUCUGACCUAUCAGCUUCCGACGGUAAGGUAUUGGCUUACCGUGGCAAUGACGGGUAAC
rnacentral:rRNA from 1 species